GCUCAGAUUGAACGCUGGCGGCAGGCCUAACACAUGCAAGUCGGACGGUAGCACAGAGGAGCUUGCUCCUCGGGUGACGAGUGGCGGACGGGUGAGUAAUGUCUGGGGAUCUGCCCGAUAGAGGGGGAUAACCACUGGAAACGGUGGCUAAUACCGCAUAACGUCGCAAGACCAAAGAGGGGGACCUUCGGGCCUCUCACUAUCGGAUGAACCCAGAUGGGAUUAGCUAGUAGGCGGGGUAACGGCCCACCUAGGCGACGAUCCCUAGCUGGUCUGAGAGGAUGACCAGCCACACUGGAACUGAGACACGGUCCAGACUCCUACGGGAGGCAGCAGUGGGGAAUAUUGCACAAUGGGCGCAAGCCUGAUGCAGCCAUGCCGCGUGUAUGAAGAAGGCCUUCGGGUUGUAAAGUACUUUCAGCGGGGAGGAAGGCGAUGUGGUUAAUAACCNNNNCGAUUGACGUUACCCGCAGAAGAAGCACCGGCUAACUCCGUGC
rnacentral:rRNA from 1 species